GUUCUUGUGAUGACAUUCCUAGUUCAACUGCUGAGUGAUUCCAGAAAUGAACUAAAACUAAAUACUCUGAUUG
rnacentral:ncRNA from 11 species